rnacentral:misc_RNA from 1 species
CAGUUGUUCUCAGUUGAGCUUCAGUUUGAGUAGUGUGCGUUCGGUGUUCGGUGUUUCCCUCUUCCGUCCGGUGUUCGGUGUUAUCUGUAUCGGUGUGUCAUUGUUGUGUGCUAUUUUGCUAAAUUUGUUCAUUGAAAUAUCCACUCUGCGUCUGGAGUGCUCUAGUUGUGUAGAACACUGAUGAUACAGUAGUGAGUGAAGACUGUGUUUUUUGUGCUGCUGAUUUAUCGAACAAAUUCAUUCAGAGGAGACCCGCUUUAUUUGGAAACAGUUUGGAAAUUGAGUUAGAGGAGUGGCAGGAGUAAACCAACCGAUGGUAGUGAGUGGCGACUGUUGAGAGUGUUCGGUUGAUUUGGUUGGCGUCGCGACGCAAGCAGCCGCCAUUUUGUUGUGACGUGAUGAAGACGUCGCCGUCGAUCAGCCCGGCUAGCCGCGCGACCGCCAAGUUCGUGCUUGUCGAACAGCAGCAGAUCGCUGCGGCGAACCGGGGCGGCAACGACCCGCCGCUGAAGACGGCCGAUCGGCCCGUGGCCGAGCCGCCAUUCGAGACCGCCAACGCUAAGGCGGCCAGCAAGAAGGACAAGAAAGAGAAGGAGAAACUCGAGAAGGAGAGUAAGAAGAAGAGCAAGGAUAAGGAGGAGCCACACAAGACCAACGGCGUUUCCAAAACUACGUCCGGUGCGAAGAUUAUUAAUAAAGGGAAAACAUAUUGUCAAAGCUGCAAGAAAAAAUGUUCUGGAGAGGUGCUCAGAGUGCAGGACAAAUAUUUCCACAUUGCCUGUUUUAAAUGCAAAGUGUGCAAGAACUCGCUGGCACAGGGUGGGUUCUUCUGCAAGGACGGCGGCUACUUUUGCACGAAGGACUACCAGACGCUGUUUGGCACCAAGUGCGCCAUCUGCGGCGACUAUGUCGAGGGCGAAGUGGUGUCGGCGCUCGGCAACACCUACCACCAAAAGUGCUUCACCUGCGCUCGGUGCAGGCAUGCAUUCCCCAGUGGUGAACGGGUGACGUAUACAGGGAAAGAGGUUCUGUGUGGAAAGUGUGUGCAGAUUCCUGUGCGAGAAGUUCAUUCAACGCAGUCUAGUCCAGUUAGUGCUUCAGCAACUGAUUGUGCGGGAUGCCGACAGGACUUGAAAGAGGGGCAGGCGCUGAUUGCCCUGGACAGACAGUGGCACAUCUGGUGCUUCAAAUGCAAGGAGUGCGGAGCCGUGCUGCAUGGCGAAUAUAUGGGAAAGGAUGGAAUUCCGUAUUGUGAAAAAGAUUACCAGAAACUAUUUGGAGUGAAAUGCGCCUACUGUAGUCGAUACAUAUCUGGAAAGGUUUUGCAGGCUGGUGACAACCAUCAUUUCCACCCGACCUGUGCGCGCUGCACCAAGUGCGGUGAUCCAUUCGGAGAUGGUGAAGAAAUGUACUUGCAGGGUGGCGCGAUCUGGCACCCGCGGUGCGGCCCGGGACCGACGGAGAACGGCACCAUUGUGAAUGGCGGCUCUGUGAACGGACACGCCACCGACACGGAGGCCGAGGCAGAGAGCACCAAGGACGGACGCGAUUUCGAUCGCAUCAGCAGUUCGGCUGUCAGCGAGAUGCAGUUUUCACUACGUUCUCGCACUCCAAGUCUCAAUGGAUCACUUUAUAGUCCUUACAAUAGCUUGAACAGAAAGUUCGGCACGCCCUACCAGCGAGCAGGCAGCCCUGGUCUAAUUCUGCGCGAAUACAAGUCCCCGAGCAGCCACCAGUACCCGGAGGACAUCAGUCGCAUCUACACGUACAGCUACCUGACCGAGGAGCCAACCACCAGCUACCUGAAGCGACCCAUCGACCCCUACGACAAGCCGCCCACAUCGCCGCACUUCCACCGGCCUGCCUCGGCGCACUCGAUGCGCAGUGGUAGCAAAUCGUCGGGCACACUGCGCAGCCAAUCACAGCACAGCCGGUCGGGCAUGUGUGUGCUGGUGGAGAGCAUCCGCAGUGAGACGCCCCGCCCCCGCUCCCCCCACCUCAACAACGAGGAGCCAAUCGGGUUGGCGCACUUCCCCGCCGGCCAUCCCCCCCCGCCCGGCGAGAAGCCCAAGAUUGAGCGCGACGACUUCCCCGCGCCGCCAUACCCCUACACUGAUCCCGAAAGACGACGUAGAUGGUCCGACUCUUACAAGGGUGUUCCAGAUUCCGAAGACGAAGACACAGUAGACACAACUAUGAGUAAAAAGGAAAUGACAGAAAUCAAAUUAAAGAAAGAAGAGGAGGAACUGAGUAAAAUAGCGACCGGAAUCGGCAAAGUGUUUUUGCAGAAUGUUCGCGAACGCGAAAAGCUACGCGCGUGGAAAAUGAGUCACAUCGACCCGCGCAAUGCCUCACGCACCCCCUCCGCCGCUAAGGAGCCCACCUACCGUCUGCGCUACCAGUCACCUGUCAACGCAUCCCCCUCGCGGAACCUGGACGCGCCCCGGCCCUGGGAGGAAGACGACGAACUGGAUCGUAGCUCAAGCUAUCGCUCGUCGAUGGGUCGAUCAGUCGGUGCCAUUCCCAGCUAUAACGUGGUCUCGUCCCACCACAUGGUGCCCCGCCCUGGCUAUGGACUGAAGAGCUCGACACUGCCUGUCUCGGCUCGCUAUGACUCGGGUGAUUUUUCAUUUAGUGGAUUAGGAGAGAAAACUCACAGUACUGAUUUCAGUAGCGGAAAAUCAGAUAUCUGGUGAGAUGCACAGUUCUUCGACGUACACCGGCUGCUUAGGCUACCCUCCCUCCGCGUCCCCCCACAUCCGCCGCUCCCUGCCCAACAUGAUGGCCCCCGCCUCCAACGAACCCCCCAAAAUCUACCCCUAUCACCUGCUGCAAAUAUCCAACUACAGGCUGCCGGCCGAUGUUGACAGAUGUAAUCUUGAGCGACAUCUAUCUGAAGCGGAGUUCGAAACUCUGUUCCACUGCAGCCGGAUGGACUUCUACCGCAUGCCACAGUGGAGACGAAACGAACUCAAACGACGCGCCAGGUUAUUCUAAGCCAUUGCUUUGCCUCUCCACUUCAACGUCUUCAGCAUCACAAUAUUCACGUCGUUCGUUCCGGCUUACUGUGGCAUACCCUUAUAACAAACGUUUGCCAUAAUAUUGUAUCAAUAUCUUCCAUUAAAUAGAAUAUUGUAAUUUAAAGAUUAAUAGAUUAUCAUAUAUGAAGAACUGUAAAAGAAAAAUCAUAUAUUAUGUAGAAGAAUAAAUUAUUAAUCAAAUGAUGAUGUAAAAUUUGCUACAAAACUAUAUUUGAUAGACUUAUAAUAUUCAACCAAUUGCGGCAGCUAAGAUACCCUAGUUUUCAAAUUAUAUGAUGCAGCUGAUUUUUCAGUAUUGUUUAACAUAAAAGUUUAGUGGAUAUUGGUUUAUUUAAUCCUACUUUGUAGCUGCAGGAUAAUUUCUUUACUUGCAUUCUUCAACUACUUUAGCAGCCUAAAUUAAUAGCAAUUCAGUUGUGUAUUUUCUGAACAUAUCGAUUUGAAUAUAUUAUUUUUGAAAUAUUAAUUGAUAUUGAAUUGAAUGUUUUAUUCGGCAGGAUUAAUUUUCCACCGUAGGUAACCAAAUUCCUAGCAAUUGGAUUUUUAUUACUUGAUUUAAUUGUAUAAUUAUAAAGUUUUGAAUGUUGAUGUAAUUUGUAGUGAGCUGUGAAAAACUUAUUAUAUCAACAUGCUUUUAAAUGUUCUAAAAUCUGAAUUUAUUCCAAUUUCUACAAUUUUAAUAGGGAAAUGGAGACUAUAGUAGUUUCGAAUAACUUGGAUUGUUAUCAAUACUUCCUCUGGUAUUGCUCAGAAAAUAUUUAUAACAGUAGCCUAGCUAACUUUGUUAAUUAUAAAAGUCUAAACUUCUUUCUAUAACAGAUGAAUUUCAUCUACUUACAAUCGUGUCAUAUUUUAAUUCACAUUCUCAUGAAAAAUUAAAAAUUGAUUUAUUGUCUUUGAAAUCUACUGAACUACUUGUCUGAUAAGUUGUUAAUGAAGACUUCAUAAUUAUAGACUGAUUCUCAUUUAUUCAGAGAUGAACUAGAUCAAUUGAUAACUAAAAACUCUUGUCAUUUGACACGUAUAUUUUCCUGUUGAAGUUUAUAGUAAAAUGUAAUAAGAAAAAUUACAAUUUAGACAUAGAAUCUGAAACAAUAAGGUCACCAAGUUAUAUUUUAUUAAAUGAAUUUCUCAUACGAAAAUAAAUCAAUUUCUUAGAAUUAGAGAAUCACCCUCUCAUAAUUUGGUUUCUAGAAUUGAAUUGAAAUGUAAUUGAAAAUGGUGCUAACAUUAAGUGGGAUUGGAAAGUCUCAUUUAAACUUUGAAUGUUCGUCAUUGUCAUCUUUUAAAUAUUUUUAUUUCUAGAGAUCAAUCGAACUAUUUGACAUGUCGAUCCUUUCAAAUAAUAAUACCUACCAUAAGAGAUCCAUGAAUCUUGGAAUUUGUUGAGAAUUCUUUACUACAUAUAUGAUUUCAAAAUCUGUCAGUUUCAAAGCAUUGUCUAUGAAAGACAAAACGUCUGCAAAACAUUUUCUAAAUUAUUAAUUCAUUUAUUUAGACUGACGAGUUUCAAGCAGUUCUUCCACUGCCAUAUUUACUGAUAAAAUUUUAUGUACUACAAUUCCAGCUCGUUAAAAAUUCAUUAAUAAAGUUGGAACUGGCAAGGCUUUGUACAAUUUUCUAAUGUUACAUUGUAAUCGGAAUGGAGUAUAUAAACAGUAGGCUACUUCAUCCUCUCUGCUUUGGAGCGUUGCUAUAAUAAUUUAUUAUGAAUAUUCAACUGUAAAUAUUAUUUCAAUAUGAAUAAAUCGUUAAUGAUUAGUUUGAUUGUAUUAUUAUUAAGUAAUAACAUUGUAGUAUUGUAAUAUAAUUUACUUUAGGGCACAUUAUUGAAGCAUUUAAUUCGUCGAGCUGUGUAAUAUCGUUUCAAAUUAGCUUUGGCGGCUUGUAUAAACUUAGUAUAGUUGACUCAAUAUUUUUAUUAUUUGCUAAUAAAUUAUCAUACGAUAAUUUGUUGAAAAAAUGUUGCUUUCUAUCUCUUUGGUCUUUAACUUUGGUAGCUAUUUUACAACUCGGUUCUCCUGGGAACAACGUGAUAAUAUCCUACGAUGAGUUAUUUUAUUGCUAAGUUAUUAAAAUUGUGGAAUAAUUACAAUGAAAACAGUAGAAUGAGUGACCUCAAAUUGGUAAGGAAAACUCAAUUUGAUCCUAUUUUUGUUUGAUAUCUUUUGAGUAAGUAAUAUUGUGAAAUAUUAAGUUUGAUUAUGACUUCAUUUUAGUUUCCUUAAAACUGCAGCUAUAUUUACGUUACAACCAGAUUAUUUUAUCAUCCCACAUAUUAUUAGAGUAUAUUGCCUCUAUGUAUAAUAUUGACGGCAAUUCAUAGCUAUUCAAAUUUAAUCCUUAUAUUUUAACAAGAGAUAAUCUCUAAAUCAUUCAAGUUAUUAAUAAUUUUGCGAUUUUUAAUUUUAUUGAAUAAUCUAACAAUGAUUUUAAUUUUAUUAGCCUAUCAGUUGGUUGGAUUUCAAUAUUGGUAGCUUAUUAUUUUUUAUAUACUGGUAACUGUAUGAUUCAGUGGUAACUAAUUGUAAGUUCUUCUCAAGAAAUUGAAUGUUAGCUCAAGUAUUAUGUUUCAUAUUAUAUCUACAGAAAUUAUUCUCAAUUUUGUAACAUUUAUUUUCUAUCAUACGGAAUAUAAUAAUGAUGAACUUUUUUGUGUAAUUAAUUACUCUACCAAAAUAGUCAUGGAGCAGCUUCAGACUUAAUUUGCUAAAAUUAUUUCAUUGUCAUUUAAUACUUCAAUACUUACAAUAUUCUGCUUUUGUAUAUUCACGAUAAAAUUUUGAAAUAUACUGUAUAUAAUGUAUUAUCCUACUCUGAAAAUUGUCUCCAUAUGCAAAAUAUUAAAGUAAUCUGCACAAACUG